rnacentral:lncRNA from 1 species
UGAUUUAUAAUGUUAUUUGUUCUUCGUUUUCAAAGAGGACUAAUGACUUCACAAGGGUGAUAUCUUGACUUGCAAAUGAAUUGGAUUUAAGUAAGGCAGAAUUACACAAAAUCAUCAGUUUCACUCUCUCUUCCAGAGUCAUUGAAAUCCAGUAACAAGACAAAAGUCGGGACAACUGGCAAAAACCUGGGAUGCAGUGGAUGAAUUUGACACCUUUGAUGGGUAACCAAGUUCUAAGCACUUCACAAUGCCUGCUUCAGCUGCCUUUAUGACCUUUGGAACAAAUUGUUCUCAUUCACCUAUUCUUCCAGGGAAUGUCAUCUCAUGCUUGGGGUAAGCAUCUCUCCUAACUCACAGACAGGUUUGAGGUAUGUCAGUUACCCUCAAUCUGAUUUAGCCCAUCUGCCAAGAUGGUUUUACCAGGAUGUGACUCUUAUGCACGCUACCAUUUCUUAGAUUCACAAGAGAGAGUUGAGUGGCAGGUGGACACCAAAGGAUACCAUAAACAGCCCUAAAAGGGCCUUGGCAAGCCCUCACACCAAAGGUGCAAGUCCUCCCUAAACAAUUCGUAUACCCCUGAUAUGGUGUAGAAAAUUUGGAGAAGUUAAGAGUCCUAAAUUUCAACUUGGAUUGGAUUGGAUUAUAAUCAGAUACAUGACCUUGAACAAAUCAUUUUUGUACCUCAGUUUCUUCAUGUGACUGACAAGAAUAACUGUUAACAGCAUAUGUCCCAUCAACCUUAAAGGAUGAUUGGAGGGAUAAUUCAAAAUGAUUUAUGGGAAAACACUUUGAAAAGUAUAAAGUGAUAGAUAAAUAAAAGAUUAUUAGUGCUUCUUAGCAGAGAAAUUCCAUACUGGUACAAAAAUUUCAAAACCUUUUAUCCUAAGAGUCAAAAUGGAGAGUUGGGAUUUUUUCCUGGAAUUUCAUAUCUAAGAGCCACAGUUAAUGGAAACAUGCCUAAUAUAUACCAUACAGAAGAUCCUGCCCAAGACAUGGAAGCAUCUUGCCCUCCUGGGUAAUAACUUCUCUUGCCUUAUAACUCUGAAGAUCUCAGUCAGCUUCCAUAUGAGCAGUGGAUUCCCUACCUUGUAA